rnacentral:lncRNA from 1 species
GGUUUUGCGCCUGUCCCAAGUCAGGAGCCUCUGGCCUUUGUUAGUCUUGUAUGAUUUUAAAUUUUAGUUUCUUGUGUAUAAUUCGGAGUUUAGUAUGACGUCCAUUAUCACUGUACUAUUAUGCAUAUUUUAGGGGCCAGCUGAAGGACACCUACGGGUGCGGGAAUUCUCGCUACAUUGAAGACCCAUUGGUUGCCUUCGGCUGUUGUUUGCUCUAUGGUCGGGUGGUUGUCGCUUUGACAUAUUCACCAUUUCCUUUCUCAAUUUUAUUUUACA